rnacentral:rRNA from 1 species
CACGAAGUUAGCCGGGGCUUCUUCUCCGGUUACCGUCAUUAUCUUCACCGGUGAAAGUGCUUUACAACCCUAAGGCCUUCAUCACACACGCGGCAUGGCUGGAUCAGGCUUGCGCCCAUUGUCCAAUAUUCCCCACUGCUGCCUCCCGUAGGAGUUUGGGCCGUGUCUCAGUCCCAAUGUGGCUGAUCAUCCUCUCAGACCAGCUAUGGAUCGUCGCCUUGGUAGGCCUUUACCCCACCAACUAGCUAAUCCAACGCGGGCUCAUCCUUUGCCGAUAAAUCUUUCCCCUCCAACGUCCACCGUCAAAGGGCACAUACGGUAUUAAUUCCAGUUUCCCGGAGCUAUUCCGUAGCAAAAGGUAGAUUCCCACGCGUUACUCACCCGUCUGCCGCUCCCCUUGCGGGGCGCUCGACUUGCAUGUGUUAAGCCUGCCGCCAGCGUUCGUUCUGAGCCAGGAUCAAACUCU